UACGUAGGGUGCGAGCGUUGUCCGGCAUUAUUGGGCGUAAAGCGCUCGUAGGCGGUUUGUCGCGUCGCCUGUGAAAACCUACAGCUUAACUGUGGGCUUGCAGUCGAUACGGGCAGACUUGAGUUCGGUAGGGGAGACUGGAAUUCCUGGUGUAGCGGUGAAAUGCGCAGAUAUCAGGAGGAACACCGGUGGCGAAGGCGGGUCGCUGGGCCGAUACUGACACUGAGGAGCGAAAGCGUGGGGAGCGAACAGG
rnacentral:rRNA from 1 species